AUCUGGCUGCGACGUUGGUGACUGCCAACAAUGUUUUUUGAUCUAUACCUUUCGAAGUUGGGCGCUCUCGCAGAGCCGACGGCAGUAGACCGAGCUUGACUCGGAAACUUAAUGUUGGCCGCAAGCUCCCCCCUGGUUCUCCCAGGUCGAAAUCUGAGGUAAAACGGCGUCGCGGUUAGAUC
rnacentral:other from 20 species